UACGUAGGGGGCUAGCGUUGUCCGGAAUCAUUGGGCGUAAAGAGCGUGUAGGCGGUCUGUCGCGUCGGCUGUGAAAACUCGGGGCUCAACCCCGAGCCUGCAGUCGAUACGGGCAGACUAGAGUGCGGUAGGGGAGACUGGAAUUCCUGGUGUAGCGGUGAAAUGCGCAGAUAUCAGGAGGAACACCGGUGGCGAAGGCGGGUCUCUGGGCCGAUACUGACGCUGAGGAGCGAAAGCGUGGGGAGCGAACAGG
rnacentral:rRNA from 1 species